AUUGAACGCUGGCGGCAUGCCUUACACAUGCAAGUCGAACGGCAGCACGGGAGCUUGCUCCUGGUGGCGAGUGGCGAACGGGUGAGUAAUGCAUCGGAACGUGCCCUGAAGUGGGGGAUAACGUAGCGAAAGUUACGCUAAUACCGCAUAUUCUGUGAGCAGGAAAGCAGGGGAUCUUCGGACCUUGCGUUUUCGGAGCGGCCGAUAUCGGAUUAGCUAGUAGGUGAGGUAAAGGCUCACCUAGGCGACGAUCCGUAGCUGGUCUGAGAGGACGACCAGCCACACUGGAACUGAGACACGGUCCAGACUCCUACGGGAGGCAGCAGUGGGGAAUUUUGGACAAUGGGCGCAAGCCUGAUCCAGCCAUGCCGCGUGAGUGAAGAAGGCCUGGUU
rnacentral:rRNA from 1 species